GCCUGGGUGGCUCCGUCGGUUGAGCGUCCGACUUCAGCUCAGAUCUCAUGGUUCGUGAGUUCGAGCCCCACGUCAGGCU
rnacentral:tRNA from 1 species